rnacentral:rRNA from 1 species
AUUGCACGCUAGCGGCAGGCCUAACACAUGCAAGUCGAGCGAGCGGCGGACGGGUGAGUAAUGUCUGGGAAACUGCCUUAUGGAGGGGGAUAACUACUGGAAACGGUAGCUAAUACCGCAUACCCUCAGAUGUGCCCAGAUGGGAUUAGCUAGUAGGUGGGGUAAUGGCUAACCUAGGCGACGCUCCCUAGCUGGUCUGAGAGGAUACCCAGCCACACUGGAACGGAGACACGGUCCAGACUCCUACGUGAGGCAGCAGUGGGGAGUAUUGCACAAUGGGCGCAAGCCUGAGGCAGCCAUGCCGCGUGUGUGAAGAAGGCGUGCGGGUUGUAAAGCACUUUCAGCGUGGAGGCGUUACCCGCAGAAGAAGCACCGGCUAACUCCGUGCCAGCCGCCGCGGUAAUAC